rnacentral:misc_RNA from 1 species
GCGUGAGCCGAUGGAGGCGCGCACCUUGUGCUGUGUGAGUGUUGCGUGCGUGCUGCGGCGCGCAGGCACGUUUUCAUCCGUUCGACGUAUUCUGAUAGCUGCUCGCACGAGCACAACACCGA